rfam:Anopheles farauti strain FAR1 unplaced genomic scaffold supercont2.29, whole genome shotgun sequence.
GAAACGGUUCUUUUCAGGACCACCAAAUUGUUUGAAAAAAAAUGAAU